rnacentral:lncRNA from 1 species
AUACAUUUACGAUCCCUUUCAAUACGAAAUUUAGCUCUCGUUCUCAACAUUCCAUCUAAACAUGCAUACGUGUAAAAUAUGAACUAUUGGACAGUUAUUGCACAAUUAAUAAAGAAAGAUAUAGGACUGACCUUAUAUAAGAAACUCCAAUCACAGAAUUGUUAUUGCAUAGAUUAAUUUCUAAAGUUGUUAAUUUGCAGACAGGUAAAUAUAUGUGUUGACCACAUGAUGUCUUCCCAUAAGAUAUAGAACAAAAGAAUUAAACCGCCAAAAGUACUGACC